ACGCGAAGAACCUUACCCAGGCUUGAACAGCGAGUGACAAACUACGAAAGUGGUCUUCCGCAAGGACACUCGUAGAGGUGCUGCAUGGCUGUCGUCAGCUCGUGUCGUGAGAUGUUGGGUUAAGUCCCGCAACGAGCGCAACCCUUGUUUGCUGUUGCCAUCAGGUAAUGCUGGGCACUCUGCAAAGACUGCCGGUGAUAAACCGGAGGAAGGUGGGGAUGACGUCAAGUCAGCAUGGCCUUUAUGUUUGGGGCUACACACGUGCUACAAUGGCCGAUACAAACCGUCGCGAGCCCGCAAGGGGGAGCUAAUCGGAGAAAGUCGGUCUCAGUUCGGAUUGUAGGCUGCAACUCGCCUGCAUGAAGUUGGAAUCGCUAGUAAUCGCGGAUCAGCACGCCGCGGUGAAUACGUUCCCGGGCCUUGUA
rnacentral:rRNA from 1 species